rnacentral:rRNA from 1 species
GACGAACGCUGGCGGCGUGCUUAACACAUGCAAGUCGAACGGUAAGGCCCUUCGGGGUACACGAGUGGCGAACGGGUGAGUAACACGUGGGUGAUCUGCCCUGCACUUCGGGAUAAGCCUGGGAAACUGGGUCUAAUACCGGAUAGGACCACUGCCUGCAUGGGUGGUGGUGGAAAGCUUUUGCGGUGUGGGAUGGGCCCGCGGCCUAUCAGCUUGUUGGUGGGGUGAUGGCCUACCAAGGCGACGACGGGUAGCCGGCCUGAGAGGGCGACCGGCCACACUGGGACUGAGAUACGGCCCAGACUCCUACGGGAGGCAGCAGUGGGGAAUAUUGCACAAUGGGCGCAAGCCUGAUGCAGCGACGCCGCGUGAGGGAUGACGGCCUUCGGGUCGUAAACCUCUUUCAGCACCGACGAAGCGCAAGUGACGGUAGGUGCAGAAGAAGGACCGGCCAACUACGUGCCAGCAGCCGCCGUAA